CCUUCCCGCGGCCCCGCGGCGGUCACACCGAGCGUCCCCUGACCCUCUCGGGCACCAUUGGCAUGAGUCACGGCUGUGCUCGUCCUGCCUGCGCCGGACCGGCUGAAGGGCAGGAUUCAAGAUCUCCCCAGGGGUACCCAGGGUUGUCCCUUCCAAUCACGUUGUGCUUUUACUUGGUUCCACACACCUACACCAUUUCUUCGUCUUUUCCUACUGUUCACUAGGUUGUUUUUCCUAACGCCUGUGUUGGUAGGACGUUGCAAUUUGGGUUUGUGUUUUUUAUUCUUUUUUUUAUGCUCACCAAAUCACAAAUAAUGGUAAGGGAAGUUUCAAAAACCCCCCAGUUCCUGUCUUGCAAGGAGCUUGAAGAACAGCCAGAAGAUGGUUGUGUGGAAAGGAAGUAAGAGAGGAAGCAGGAACAUGCUCUAUCCAGAGUUUCCAGGACCUGGGGAAGACUUCUGUAAAAAUCCCAGUGCAAUAGGAUUAUACCAGCCCUCCAGACUGUGGCUGGAAAUCCUGAACCAAACAAAAAAAGGCUGCAGGUAAUGAUCAUGGAGUGCUUGAAGGGCAUCUGUCUGCCCUCAUCACAAAGUGAAUGUAUGCCAGACGCUUUUAGCUGCAAAACAUACAUGCAGGAAUCACUGUGUAAUUCAGCUGUGAGGAGUAAGUGAUCUGAUCAAUCUUUUCUGUAUCUCUUGCUCACAAUAAUUAUUUGUAUUUAAAAGAAGGAAUAAUGUUUUGGCACCCACAUUUGAGGAAUAGUUGGUUUGGGGUUUAUUUUUCCCCUUAGGUGCAGAGCGGAACUCAGAAUUCUUAUGGCAAAAAGAGGCCAGAGAGCAGAUGAGGUGAGAUGACAGAUUGGGGUAAAACAUGAGCAGCCAGCUCACAACAAGCAAGUUCAUUGCGUGACAAUCUUCCUGCUCUUCCCUGGGGAGUGAGCAGAAUGGUUCAAGAAGGAGCAGAUGGAAACAGCUGCCAACAGAUGAGUACUGGAAUGGAUUCAAGCCACCCUGCUUGCUGGAACUUGAGAGUUUUUGAUGGCCUGAGCUUUCCCAACCACAGUGCAUCAAUGGGAGACCUUUACAAAGUUGGACUUUGAUGAAGAUGCUGAGUGGGCAGUCCUGCCUCAGAGUCUCCUCUGAUCCAUGGGAGCCUGGGCUGCUCCACAGAAUGGUCCUGUGCCUUGGCACUGAUUUAUCAUCCACCAUGACCCCAAGCUCACGGAUGAGGAAGGAAUACCCAUGGCUGCUACCAUCCCUGCCCCUCUGGCUUCAGGUAAGUCACCAAGCUUGGAGCAUGACUGCCCCAGGAAGAAGGAGAAGCAACUGCAUUGUUCUGCUCAACACAUGGCAGCUUGCUCCUCUCCUCUCCACAGAACAUUGAUCUUCAAGGCCAUACGUGAUAAAAGGAGUGGGAGAUAUUCCCUGGAAUUAGCUGUUCCCUUUUUCUUUUUUCUGAUUAAGGUAAGAGCUGCACAAACUCCCUCUUUAAGAAUCACCUAACAGAGAAUACAAUGACUAGUCUGUCAUCGAAGUAUUUAGGGAUGAUGACGAUACCUAGAUUGGUUUUCAGUGUGUUUUUUGUUUUUAUUUUACUGUGAUGUUUCUACAAAAUCUAUAAAGCAUAGGGAUGUGAUAAGAAACAGUUUGUAGUUGCUGGUUAUUCUUGUCCAGAUGCACAGAAAUGCCCUGAUUGUUUCUUUCCAAUGACAACCAGCUCAGGGCUUAACAUUUUUCAGUUGCACAGCCAACUUUCAAGGUUACACAUAGAUACUGAAUGAAACAGAGCCCACUGGUUAUUUUUAGAGAGGCUCUAAACAAGAAGCAAAUCCCUGGAGCAGUGCUGCCAGAGAUGCAUAAAGUUCAAAUCCAAAUUAAAACUGCCUAUCUUUGGCCUACAUUCCAACUUGAACUUGAGGAAAACUGUGAUCUCUAAUUUGAACUUUAUGACAAAAACUCCUUUGCAAUUAGUUUCUAAUACCUGGGAAUACAUGAACUUGGUAUCAACACUCGAAAAAUAGAACUUGAAUGAAAAAUGUGAACACUUGUCCAAAAAUGUAGUACAUUUUCGUGAGUUUUGUAUGGUUUCAGUAGCUGCACUGGAAUUUGGAGAGUCUAAUUUUUUUGUGGUUCUUAGUUUCAACACAUCUUUGUAAGAUCAAGUCCUACAAUAUAAUUGUAAAUUUUGAGGGCAGGAGGAGAAACAUGCUUAUUUAUUGAUUCCUCUAAUAAUGACUUGUGAUGUUUAGGUUUAGCAGUGACCACAACAGAAUAUGAGGAAAGGAGACCCUUUGACAGCAGCAUAUUUAUGCAAAGUAGUGCAACUGAAGCAUGUUCUUGGUUUCUUUGCUGAAUCAGAGCCUGUAUCUUCUUCCUGCCAAGGCAGAGAUCUAAUACCACUCCUAAAUGCACUAGUAAUUCUAGAAGCCCUAACGAAAGUCAAGAUAACACCACAG